GUAGGUGGCAAGCGUUGUCCGGAAUUAUUGGGCGUAAAGCGCGCGCAGGUGGUUCUUUAAGUCUGAUGUGAAAGCCCCCGGCUCAACCGGGGAGGGUCAUUGGAAACUGGGGAACUUGAGUGCAGGAGAGGAAAGUGGAAUUCCACGUGUAGCGGUGAAAUGCGUAGAUAUGUGGAGGAACACCAGUGGCGAAGGCGACUUUCUGGCCUGUAGCUGACACUGAGGCGCGAAAGCGUGGGGAGCAAACAGGGAUUAGAUACCCUGGUAGUCCACGCCGUAAACGAUGAGUGCUAAGUGUUGGGGGGGUUUCCGCCCCCUCAGUGCUGCAGCUAACGCAUUAGCACUCCGCCUGGGAUACGGUCGCAAGACUG
rnacentral:rRNA from 1 species